rnacentral:rRNA from 1 species
GGGUGCGAUCACACCAGCGUUAAUGCACCGGAUCCCAUCAGAACUUCGCAGUUAAGCGCGCUUGGGCUGGAGUAGUAUGGGUGUAACAGGGCUCGCGAACUCCCGACCAGCGAAAUCC